UUUAUUUAUUUUGGCCCGCCUUUCUAGAUCAACGUAGGGUUUACUGUUGUCAGUAAUUUUCUUUCAACAGGUGUUUAACUGCCUAUAAUGCUAGCUGCAAUUCAUUAGCUGACCACAAUUUUACAUGAGACAGUGGAUUGGAGAGGGGGGCGCUGUGGAGCUCCUCUCAGCAGAGAUCAGAUUCAACCGAAGUUUCUCCUUCAUCUUCAGACAGAGAGUAGAUGUACUAAAGGAGUAUAACAUCUGUCUGCAUUAGGAAACAAAACAUGCACACCUGUUCUCAAAGUAAAGUGGCGAGGAGAGAAAGCUGCUCAUUGAGGAGCAAUUUAAGAACAUCAACCCCUGCAGCAUGUGGAACGAAAUCAAAGCACUGACGGACUACAAAACCAACACCCUGCAGGACAGUGAUGACACCCAUCUACCUGAUGUGUUAAACAAGUUCUUCUGUUGCCUUGAUAAGCAAAACAGCAGAUUUGCUUCCCACAUCACACCACAUGCUGAAAAGUGUCAUCAGGUAAGAACCACCCCACAGAGAGUGGAUCCCAACAACGCAGCAGGUACAGAUGGAGUUUCUGGAAGGACACUAAAGGUCUGUGCGAGCCAACUAACGGAGGUCUUCAUAAACAUAUUUAACCUCUCACUACAUUUACAUUGUCUUCAUUAUCCAGAGCGACUUACAGAAGUGCUUCUAUAGUGAACGUUACCUUACUCUAGUUUACGUACUAGAGUGAAAGAUCAUUCAUCUGCCAAAAUCUGUUAGAACCAAAGUUUUUUUUUUGUUGUUGUUGUUGGCUGCAAUAAAUGAAUAAGAGCAUUAAUAAGUAAGUGCAGGUCAGUUUGAGUGUUUAGUAAAGAUGUGAUGAAAGUUUUUAAUCGUCUUUUGAAGACAGCGAGAGACAACAGAUGUUUGGACAGACAGAGAAAGUUUGUUCCACCACUUGGGUGCUGGUACGGAGAAGAUCCUUAAUGCUGAUGCUUGUCUUCCUCGAAUCCUGGGUGGAGGAUCAAGUCGAGCAAGACUAGUGGCUCGAAAGUUGCGUGGUACUGAGUGGGGUUUGAUUAGAACUCGAAGGUAGUUGGGGGUCCAUUUUUGGCUUAAUACUAAAUAUGUGCAGCUACAGGAAGCCAGUGAAGACAACGCAGCAGUGGGUGAUGAUGAGGCAGCAUUGACCUGAACUUGACCUGAACUCUCUCCACUUUGAGUUACUUAACAUUUGUUCGCUAUCCGGCAAAGGUCCUCUGGUCUAUGAUCUCCUGAAAGAUCAUGGAUAUGACUUCCUUUACUUGACGGAGACAUGGCAACAACGUGGUGAUUUCUCCCAGCUAAAUCAGUGCACUCCACCCGGGUUUGUUUACAUCUGCGAAGCUCGCGUCACAGGACGAGGAGCCAGUACGGUGAUUUUCUUUAGCGAGAAAUGUCGGGUUUCCACAGUAACUGUUCCUGCUUACUCUUAUUUUGAAUCAGCUAUUGAUUCCCUCUCCACCUUCAAAUCCCACCUAAAAACUCACUUAUUCAAACUAGCCUACAAUUCAUUCACUUGAUUGUUCAAUGUUAAUUGUAUUGUCUGUGUAUUGUUGUUUAACUGAUCUGUAAGAUGUAAGGUCCCCUUAAAUGCUUUA